rnacentral:rRNA from 1 species
ACAUGCCUACAACAUGGUGCUAAUGCAUCGUAUCUAAUUAGAACUCUGUAGUUAAGCGUGCUCAAGCUAGAGUAGUACUCAGAUGGGUGACCGCCCAAGAAGUCCUAGUGUUUUACAUGCC